rnacentral:rRNA from 1 species
UACGGGGGGAGCAAGCGUUGUUCGGAUUUACUGGGCGUAAAGGGCGCGUAGGCGGCGCAACAAGUCACUUGUGAAAUCUCCGGGCUUAACCCGGAGCGGCCAAGUGAUACUGUCGUGCUAGAGUGCGGAAGGGGCUACUGGAAUUCUCGGUGUAGCGGUGAAAUGCGUAGAUAUCGAGAGGAACACCUGCGGCGAAGGCGGGUAGCUGGGCCGACACUGACGCUGAGGCGCGAAAGCCAGGGAGCGAACGGG